UGGGGGAUAUUGCACAAUGGGCGAAAGCCUGAUGCAGCGACGCCGCGUGGGGGAUGAAGGCCUUCGGGUUGUAAACUUCUUUUGCUCUGAACAAGGCAUGCUAAUGGGUGUGUUGAGUGUAGGGGUUGAUUAGCGCCGGCUAACUACGUGCCAGCAGCCGCGGUAAUACGUAGGGCGCGAGCGUUGUCCGGAAUUAUUGGGCGUAAAGGGCUUGUAGGUGGCUGGUUGCGUCUGUCGUGAAAGCUCAUGGCUUAACUGUGGGUUUGCGGUGGGUACGGGCUGGCUUGAGAGCAGUAGGGGAGGCUGGAAUUCCUGGUGUAGCGGUGGAAUGCGCAGAUAUCAGGAGGAAUACCGGUGGCGAAGGCGGGUCUCUGGGCUGUUACUGACACUGAGGAGCGAAAGCAUGGGGAGCGAACAGG
rnacentral:rRNA from 1 species